ACAGCCCUGAUUAGAUGAAGGUGGGAGGGAGAACUCCCAGUAUGGAUAAGAGGAUCCCAGAAAAGAUGUGGUUGAGAACGACUAUGCUCCUCCUUCCGCCUCUGUCAUGCCCAUCUGCCACAAGGUUGAUGUGUCUGCUCUGCCUUAUACUACUGUACCCUAGGGUAAUUUCCCAGGGAACUGUUCCAAUCCUUUAACAGUCCUUUUUAAAUGCCAGAGGAGCACAAAGGGUUCUCAGCAGGGGCCAGACUCUGGCCCAUAAAAUGUUAUCCACCCACAGAAAGAUGUGUGUCUUGGCUUUCUAAAAAGAUGUUUAUUUCAUUUGUAUGCACUCAUGUGCUCCUAAGGGCAACAGCUGAACUAAGGGCAGGACAGAUAAAUUCAAACUAUUGCAAGACCUGGAUUUGUCAACACCUAAGAAACAACAAACAUUAUACAUCCUCUAGUUUAUUGAGCGAUAGAUGUCUACUGUAUAAUUUAAAUGUUCACGGUGGAGGAAAUUAAACAGGAUCAGACAAUAGAGGAGGACAGAAUGAUAGUAAAGAUUGAGAUUAAAGAAGUUAAAGCUUUAUAACCGUUAAAACACAAAGUAUCAACAUUACAUGCCAAAA